rnacentral:rRNA from 1 species
AUUGAACGCUGGCGGCAGGCCUAACACAUGCAAGUCGAGCGAGCGGCGGACGGGUGAGUAAUGUCUGGGAAACUGCCUGAUGGAGGGGGAUAACUACUGGAAACGGUAGCUAAUACCGCAUACCAUCAGAUGUGCCCAGAUGGGAUUAGCUAGUAGGUGGGGUAACGGAUCACCUAGGCGACGAUCCCUAGCUGGUCUGAGAGGAUGACCAGCACCACGGGAACGGAGAGACGGUCCAGACUCCUACGGGAGGCAGCAGUGGGGAAUGUUGCACAAUGGGCGCAAGCCUGAUGCAGCCAUGCCGCGUGUGUGAAGAAGGCAUGCGGGUUGUAAAGCACUUUCAGCGGGGAGGCUUUACCCGCAGAAGAAGCACCGGCUAACUCCGUGCCAGCAGCCGCGGUAAUUC